UUAACCAUAUGGGAAAUCAUAAAAUAAAUUUUGAUCUCAUAAAAUGUGACAACUUCAAUAACAAAAAAGUGAAACUAAUAAUGCUGUCAAAAAUAAUAUUUGGGGACUUAAUCUGUUAAGGUGGUACCCAACACCUUCACUGAAAUUAAUUUGGCUCGUUUAAUUUUCAUAAAAUUUUGGCAAAGUAUUUACUUUCACCCUUUGACAAAAAUAUAAAAAUUUCAAAAAAUUUGAACCAACCAAUUUAUCAGAAAAAUUACAUUGGUUAUAUAUAGCAGUUUGACAAACACCAAUUUUGAUCAUUGAGAAGCUUAAUAUUCCUUUUACAACACAACGUGAUUAAAACGUUUAGUUAACUUUACAGAGUUAUCUCCCUGUAGUGUUAGGUACCACCUUAAAUACAACACACUCAAGAUGUGAUAUCUAAUAUUGUGGAUUCAUUUAGUUUUGUAUGUACCAGUUUACGUGAAUUGAGAAAAAAAAUGAAUUUUCGUUGAUAUUUGACUUGUGAGUUUUCUCAUAGUCUGCUUACAAGCCUUGAUGGACGUUUUAAUCAAUUAUUACUAAGGACUGUUCUAGAAUUUAAUGCAUAGAAAGGGGAUGGGGAUUGUUGUUGAUGAUGGAUGCAAUUUUAAGACCCCAACCACUCAUAAUAUAUAAUUUUCAUUAUAUUAUUAAUUUGUAAAAAAGUGGAAGGAAUAUGCAACCACCCAUAAUUAAUUUGAGUGCCUCCCAUCCCUUCCAGCAUGAUCGCUUUUGGAACAGUCCUUAUUGCUGUUUCUUUAAUAGAACUUUUAUCAGUCACAUGGUCAUGCCAAUCAUACUUAAUCAGGUGUAAUAAAGUAAUAUUUUAUUCUAAACUAGAUUUUUAAUGAGAUUUUCCUGAAUAGAAAUCAAAUUGUCAUACAAGUCAUACCCAAUCAUCUAGUAAUUUGUUAUAUCCUAUAUAUCUCUGUCAUUCCAGCCAAAUACUCUCAAAUAAACUGUAAAAUAUUUUAGAAUAGUCAUUUUGGAUGACAUAUGUGCCACAUUGUUUGUGUUUUUUGAACAUGUGUAGGUUGUGUAAUGUUGAUAUCAUAUAAUUCUACUCUUUUAUCACGUUAUGUACCUUUAACUGUUAUACAUUCCUUCUUUCUUUUAUGUGCAAGUAAUGUCAUGUUUAAUGCUAUACUUUUAUACUUUAUUACAUCUGCAAGU
rnacentral:lncRNA from 1 species